rnacentral:ribozyme from 1 species
AAAUACAGAUACGCACACACACACAUACACAGAUAUAUAUAGAAAGACCUUUUCAGAAUGUCUUUUUCUGCUUCUUUUUUGUUUUUAUUUUUUCAACCUUUCUUCUUUCUUAUCUUUAUUUUAAUAUAAAAUGGUAUAAUGUGGAACAUGGGGGGGUGAGUUUAGAGUCAUGUCAACAAAUUGAAGUGCACUCCACCAUGGCAGCUAGAUCAAAUGAAUUUCUACGAAAAAGAAAAGUUGACAAAAAAA